GGACUAUAGCUCAGUUGGUAGAGCACCUCGUUUACACCGAGAAGGUCUA
rnacentral:tRNA from 1 species